AACGAACGCUGGCGGCAGGCUUAACACAUGCAAGUCGAACGGGCGUAGCAAUACGUCAGUGGCAGACGGGUGAGUAACACGUGGGAACCUUCCUAGGGGUACGGAACAACUCAGGGAAACUUGAGCUAAUACCGUAUACGUCCGUAAGGAGAAAGAUUCAUCGCCCCUAGACGGGCCCGCGUCGGAUUAGGUAGUUGGUGGGGUAACGGCCUACCAAGCCUACGAUCCGUAGCUGAUCUGAGAGGAUGAUCAGCCACACUGGGACUGAGACACGGCCCAGGCUCCUACGGGAGGCAGCAGUAAGGAAUAUUGCGCAAUGGGCGAAAGCCUGACGCAGCGACGCCGCGUGGGGGAUGAAGGUCUUUGGAUUGUAAACUCCUGUCAGCAGGGAAAAAG
rnacentral:rRNA from 1 species